UCUAUCCAUCCAUCUGUCCAUCCAUCCAUCCAUCCAUCCAUCCAUCCAUCCAUCCAUCCAGUUGCCCUUACAGAGUCUAGCCUGUGCUAAUGGUAAAGUGAAAGGUAAUCCUCCUUUCUGUGAAUUUUAUGUAUUUAUGGAAAGGGAUGACACAUACACCUCCCUAUCUGUAAUGAUACUAUGUGGUGCUAAAAUAAGACUUUCUCUGCAAACACAGACUGUAGAGCAACUAAAACCGGAAGUGAGGAAGUCUUAUUAGAGAAUGCACCAUGGCAGCUUGAGCCUAAAGAAUGAGCAAGAAUUCUGCUUCUCAAACCAGGAUGGGGGUUGUCUUAGGCAUCAAGAAUUGCACAGGCAAAAGCUAUCAAUAUAUGAAUACACAAAUACCCCCUACACACACACACACAAAAAAAAAACCCAUAGAUAGUUUAUCAGGGGAGCCACAGGCAAUUCCAUGAGCUCGUGCAGUAAGACAGAGGGGAGUGAGGCAUGAGGGUGGGUGAGUUGGGAGCAGAUUGCUCAAUACUUUGUUUACCGGCCUACGGAGCUUAGACUUCAAGAAUAUCUAUUGUAUAAAAGCUCUUCUUCAGGAAAUUCCCAAUAACUUUACUUCUUCCAAUUAAGUCCUGCUAGGAGAUUCAGCCUACUGUUAUUCCCCUAAAUGACCCCCAGGAGGGCAGGUGGGGGACAGCUGGUGGAGCCAGGCUGGGCCUGCCCCGGGAUCCCAGUGCUGCCCCAUCUCCUGCUGCGUCAUGCUCAGAACUGCGCAGAGCACCCUGACUUGCUUGGAUUCUGUCUACAGGAUGCAGGGGCAACCGGCGACCCGCCUGAACAUUCCGGAGGCUUUGCUCAGCCCCGUGCAUGGCUGUGACAGGCGUCAGCUCAGACAGGGCUGGGAGUCUGAAUGACUCAAGAGGUGUCAUGGCGCGGUGGCUGAUGGCGUGGGCAGUGGGGCCAGUUGCUUGGCUCAUUUCUGGCUCUGUCCCUUAAAACUGCAUGGCUUAUAAAAUGCAUAUUGAUGAAAUCACGUACAUGGCUAAUCGCAACACCUCCCUCCCAGAAGGCUCCUGCGGGUGCCAUGUGUUCAGAUGAUGUAGCACACACCAGAACACUGCCUGGCAAAAUAGACGCCCGCUGCUCUGUGUCCUUUCGGACUCACGUGUUGUCAGGUCACACUGCAGUCCAGCUGGUCUCUUAGGAUGCCCUUCAUAAAAAACAAGCUAAAAGAGGCCAGGCGUGGUGGCUGACGCCUGUAAUCCCACCACUUUGGGAGGCCAAGGUGGGCGGAUCACUUGAGGUCAGGAAUUCGAGACCAGCCUGACCAACAUAGCGAAACUCCGUCUCUACCAAAAAUACAAAAACUAGCCAGGCCUGGUGGUGGGUGCCUAUAAUCCCAGCUAAUUGGGAGGCUGAGGCAGGAGAAUCGCUUGAACCCCAGGAGGCAGAGGUUGCAGUGAGCCGAGAUCGUGCCAUUGCACUCCAGCCUGGGGGACAAGGGUGAGACUCUUGUCUCAAAAAAAAAAAAAAAAAAAAAGCGAAAAGAGUAUAUACAUUGUGCUGUGGUGGGACAGACACUCUAAUGCAUGUUGCUAGGUAUGUUAUGGAACAUUUACUUAUUCAGUUACUCAAGAAACUCCACCGUGCUGUAGACACCCUCCCCAUUUCUAAACUACACAGAAAAUAUUGCUUACAAUUGGCUUUAGUUUUCUUUUAUCCGUGUAGUAUCUCGUUGGGUGGCUCACACCUGUAAUCCCAGCAAAUUUAGGAGGCCGAGGCAGGUGGACCAUUUAAGCCCAGAAGUUCAAGACCACUCUGGGCAACAUAGCGAGAUCCUGUUUCUACUAAACAUACAAAAAUUAGCCAGCUGUGGUGGUGCGCCCCCAUAGUCACAGCUACUUGGGAGGCUGAGGUGGGAGGAUCUCUUGAGCCCAGGAGUUGAAGCUGCAGUGAGCCAUGCUUGUGUGACUGUCCUCCAGCCUGGAUGACAGAGCAAGACCCUGCCUCAAAAAACAAACAAACAAAAAUCCUGAGAUUCCCUACAGGUUUCUAAGAUGCUAUCAUUUUUCUUAGACUUAUGGCUUUUCUUUAUUAAUUAACCUUGCGAUUCAUUGGCUACUUAACUGUGUGAAUGGCAUCUUUCUGGUGUUGAUGGAGGCCAUGUGGGCGCGGCCCACCCAGGCACUA
rnacentral:lncRNA from 1 species